GACGAACCGUGCGAACGUUGUUCGGAAUCACUGGGCUUAAAGGGCGCGUAGGCGGGCCCGCAAGUCAGGGGUGAAAUGCCACGGCUCAACCGUGGAACGGCCUCGGAUACGGGCGGUCUCGAGGGGGGUAGGGGCAUCUGGAACUGUGGGUGGAGCGGUGAAAUGCGUUGAGAUCCACAGGAACUCCGGUGGCGAAGGCGAGGUGCUGGACCCCAUCUGACGCUGAGGCGCGAAAGCCAGGGGAGCAAACGGG
rnacentral:rRNA from 1 species